rnacentral:lncRNA from 1 species
GGUUGUCAUGUUAUGUUAUCUUCUCAAAUAUCAUAUCCCUAGUUUUAGGCCACCAUCUUUUCUCAAUGAUAGCGAGUUAUAGUUUAUACUUUCCCCUAAAUCUCAUUACAACUUGAAAAUAGGUUAGCAACAAUUUUCAGAAAAUUUGGAACUCAAAGCUAGCCGAAUUUAUAUCAGUCUCAACUAUUUUAUUCACUCUUACCACUGAAAAAUAUAUUUCAUUUUCAAGAUCAUUUUCCCAGCAGAUGUCCCCAGAAAUUGCUCACAGAAUGAGCUCCAACAGAUCUUUGCAAUUAUGAUACAAUUACAAUGCCAUCCAACACCUAAAAUUCAAGAAUCUACUAACGAAUACAAAAACGCCCAGAACAUUAUGAAGCUAGUCCAACAUGCAUAAGAAGACAGCUAGCUCACUCCUUAUCCUUUCGAUGCACCAUAGAUAAAGCAUUAAAGUUCCGGUAUUGCAACGCAGUUUCAACAAGAAUCUGCCAUAACUGACCUAUACUCAGCAAAUAAUUAGCAAACACCACCUUAAUGGGCUUAGAUAUAUCCUAACUUCUGAACACUUAGAUGGCAAGAAAAUGUCCGGUUGUUUAAAAAUAGCAUAACCUGUGAUUUUCUUCUCCAAGCAACCAAAACCAGUCUGCAAAAAGAUUCUAAUCAUUCUAUCCAGAAAAGAAUUCCUCUUCUGAGAAGAUAGUGACAUUGUCUGGCACCAUGUUCCAAGAGGAGAGGAAAAGGGGAUGAGGUGUCAAGCAAGAUGUAGACUUUCCAAAUCUUCAGAACUUCCAGAGCAAUAUGCUAUCAGACUCUAUAGAGAUUCAAAGGAAAAGCAAAUAUGCUGACAUAGGUCUAGCUAUUCUAGAACUAAAUUUUAGACACUUCUAUCAUCAUACAUUAAUGCAGCAAUAAUAUAAAACACUAUAAACAUGAACUUCUAAACAUAUUUAUUUUUAAAAAACAAUCUUUUAAUUGUUUGAAUGUGAAACUACCAAAACGAUACGUUUAAGAUCCUACAUAACAUAAUAUAUAUUGAAAUGGCAUCUAUGUCAUCAGUAUUCUUGAAUGAUUUGAUUUUGUUUGACCAUUUUUCACUUGAGACAAGGAUUGAUAGUUAUGGUUAUGUCUUUAUAAGUUUGAACCUAAACCGGUACAUAUUUGGUCUGACUGAAAACCAAAUCUGAGCUUUCAAACCACAACAAGUUUGAUACAGAGACGCAAAGAAUAGUGUCACUGUACGAUAUCAUUUCAACACAUACAAAUCAUGAAAGUGGACCCUAAUAGAACACGUUAGAUGCAUCCAAGUUGUCGGUAAACAAUUACAUCAACCAUACUAUCUCAUUAAUCUCGAUAUUUUGCUCAUUCAUUAAUUAUACAAUAUGCAGGAAGAAUGGUCAAAGGGCAGAACCACCAAAGAAUAUUCUCCAUUGAAAAAUCAGGGUGUUUUUUUUUUUUUUGGGGGGUGGGGGGGCAUGAGAAAGCAAUUCAAUUGAAGGUAUAGGCCAGCUAGGAUAUGUUAACAGAGUCUCAAAUAAGCAAAAAAACCAACUAUUACAACAUUGUAACACAGAUGACGCUUAUGAGAAGUGAACACUUUCCUAGAAUGACCAUAAUUUUGGUCUAGGCCAAAGAGGAAGAGCACUAAGGAAAGUAAAAACAGAACCAAUCCACUACUAACAUGAGCACCUUUAAGGACAGAAUUUUCAUAUAAAGCCUCCUCCACUUUUAGUCUAGAGAAAAGGCAAAGAAACUCUUCUCACCUUUAAUUGUUCUUUAACAAAAAUGAGGGCUAGACCAAACUUCUAGAGACUAUUAAAAAGCAAAAUGCAAACCAUUUAAAAGACACUAAACCGAGCAAAGAUAAAGAAACCAUAAAAGAAAGCCUCCAUGUCAAAUAUGAAACCUAAUAUGAACCUAUGAUUACUUAUCAUGUCAAGCUGAUUUCAAAUACAUACCUGCAUACCUAAAAGAACCCUGAACACCCAAGAACCCUUUAUGAUGAGCAAUCAAGUAAAGCCUCAUUCCGAAGAAUCAGUACCAUAAAAUGAAGCAAUAUUAACUACAAGGAAGCAUCCCUACUUUUUCCAAAUAAGAUCCGCACUGUUCUAAGUUAAUAUUUGUUCAACCCUUUCAAAACAUAAAUCCCCAUCAACCAGAUUCUGUGAAGUAGGUUCAUUUUGUAGAUAUCUCAAAUUAUUAAUGAGAUAGUUGCUGCCACAAUUACUCACCUUUCUUCUCAUUUAUUUUAAAUUACAUUAGAUUACAGCAACUUAAUGGUUUUAUAAGCAAAGAAGAAGUAACAUUAUUCUUGCAUAUUAGCCAUUAAGCCUUGUCCCUUGCAGAAGGAGUAACUUUAGGAAUUAGGAUAAUCCACUAAAAUUUGGACGUGCAGCAUAAUAAUUUUUUUAACCUAAUGUCAAUCCUUUAGAAUUGGUAUAAGUCAUACAGAAGACAUCUCAGGACAAGAAAGGGCCUUUGUGGCUUGAGAUUAAACCUAGAAGGCUACACCUCUCUGCUUGAUUAUCCAGUUCAUGCUCAUGUAAUCAAGUAGCAAUCCUCCAAGUUAGAACAAGUCUAUGCAAAAGGAAGAAAAACAAGGGGCUUACAAUUCUCUCUAAUGUCCAACUUAUAAAACAAAAAGCUGAAAUGGAAUGUGAUCCCCAAUUUUCCACUGAUAUCCAUAUCCAUCCAUCUCCAUCUGAUACAUACAUACAUACAUACAUAUAUAUAUAUAUACAUGCAUACAUACAUACAUACAUAUGUAUCUAUAUAGAUAUGUAUGUAUACAU